rnacentral:rRNA from 1 species
GACGAACGCUGGCGGCGUGCUUAACACGUGCAAGUCGAACGGAAAGGCCCUGCUUUUGUGAGGUGCUCGAGUGGCGAACGGGUGAGUAACACGUGAGUAACCUGCCCUUGACUUUGGGAUAACUUCAGGAAACUGGGGCUAAUACCGGAUAGGAGCUCCUGCUGCAUGGUGGGGGUUGGAAAGUUUCGGCGGUUGGGGAUGGACUCGCGGCUUAUCAGCUUGUUGGUGGGGUAGUGGCUUACCAAGGCUUUGACGGGUAGCCGGCCUGAGAGGGUGACCGGCCACAUUGGGACUGAGAUACGGCCCAGACUCCUACGGGAGGCAGCAGUGGGGAAUAUUGCACAAUGGGCGGAAGCCUGAUGCAGCAACGCCGCGUGCGGGAUGACGGCCUUCGGGUUGUAAACCGCUUUCGCCUGUGACGAAGCGUGAGUGACGGUAAUGGGUAAAGAAGCACCGGCUAACUACGUG